UUGGCGGACGGGUGAGUAACGCGUGGGUAACCUGCCUCACACUGGGGGAUAACACUUAGAAAUAGGUGCUAAUACCGCAUAAGCGCACGGGACUGCAUGGUCUUGUGUGAAAAACUCCGGUGGUGUGAGAUGGACCCGCGUCUGAUUAGCUGGUUGGCGGGGUAACGGCCCACCAAGGCGACGAUCAGUAGCCGGCCUGAGAGGGUGGCCGGCCACACUGGGACUGAGACACGGCCCAGACUCCUACGGAAGGCAGCAG
rnacentral:rRNA from 1 species